AUGACUUAUCACUAUAACACGACUUAUAUAGUUAUAUACGAAAGGAAAAGAGGAACAAUGCUAAAGGAUUAAGUCAUUAUUGCCUCUCAUCCUAUGAUCCAUAUAAUGCUUAUGGAUUGAGAAAAUCAUGGAUCACAAAAUGAUGUCAAUAAGAAAGGUAGCAAACAAAAUGAAAAAGGGAGACAUACAAACUAUAUGGUAGGCCUCAAGGGGUAGUGCUAGGAAUUUUCACAUGGGAGAUUUGAAGAGAACAUAAACAAGAAAGGACACUAAAAAAUAAAAUAAAAAAAAUAUAUUAAAAAAAUCAUUUUAUAUUAAAUUUUUAAUUUGUUGAGGUUUAGGAUUUGAUGUGGGGACCUCCCAAAAAAAAUGAGUAAAGAGCCAAAUUAGUAGAGAGUAUAUCUCGUUAAACACAUUUGAGAUUUGGGACCAAACAAGGCACAAGGAAUUUUCGAUCAUAUGUGGCAAUGUGGGGCGGCAUCAAUAUCAUCAUUUACUGUUAUAUAUUCUAAGUACUUUAUUUAUUUUUUAUUUGUAGUAUUUAUUUAUUUUCUACAUUUAUAUUUACACUCUCAUGAUCCAAGACCGAGUUAAGGGUGAAUGUGGGUACUAAACUUUGCCUAAAGUUGCAAAUUAGGUACUCAAGUAUCAGUUGUUGCAGUUAGAGUACUAAACUAUGUACUCUACCUGUGUUAACCUGUUGUAGCCGGUAAUAGAGAGCAAUAAAUACAAUUUUUUUUUUUUUUUUUUUUUUUUUUUGCAGAUGUUGAAAUCUAUGAAAUUUUGAGAAUUUAUUCUUAAAAGAUCUUGCAAUGGAGCCAAGACCGCCAUUAAUGAAGCUGCUGGAAUUGGGGCUUUUAUUAACUUUCUUCAUCAUUGUUGUUGAAUCCCAACAACAAACUCAACAAUCAUCCCAACAACAAUCUCAACAAUCACAGGUUGUGCAAGAUACAAUCAAUGAUCGACAACCACCACCACCACAAACACCGCCAACAUUCAUACUCUCUCCUCCACCACCAUUAUUGCCUUCGCCUCCGCCUCCUCCUCCAAUUUCCCCACCUCCUUCGUCUCCUCCGCCUCCUUCGUCUACUCUACCUGUUUAACCUGUUGUAGCCGGUAAUAGAGAGCAAUAAAUACAAUAUAUAUUUUUUUUUAUUUUUUUUUAUUUUAUUUUUGCAGAUGUUGAAAUCUAUGAAAUUUUGAGAAUUUAUUCUUAAAAGAUCUUGCAAUUGAGCCAAGACCGCCAUUAAUGAAGCUGCUGAAAUUAGGGCUUUUAUUAACUUUCUUCAUCAUUGUUGUUGAAUCCCAACAAUAAACUCAACAAUCAUCCCAACAACAAUCUCAACAAUCACAGGUUGUGCAAGAUACAAUCAAUGAUCGACAACCACCACCACCACAAACACCGCCACCAUUCAUACUCUCUCCUCCACCACCACCAUUGCCUUCGCCUCCGCCUCGACUGCCUCCACCGCCUCCUCCUCCAAUUUCCCCACCUCCUUCGUCUCCUCCGCCUCCUCGAGUGCCUCCUCCUCCGCCUCCACCAUCAUUGUCGCCUCUGCCAUCGCCACACCCUCACCCACAUCGUGUGUAACUGAUGAGAGCAGACAUUCGGGAAAGAACAGCAGCUCAUUGCUCUAUAUCCAAGGCACUGUCAUGAUUGAUGAUUACUCAAGAUUCGAUUUUUAUUACAAUUUUUUUUUAUAAAUCAAACCGGUUAAAAACGGUAAAAGGAGGUCACCGGGACGGAAUAUUCCCUCAGUUCUUUGGUAAAGAUUUGUUCGGAAUCGCAACGGUUGUCAAAUUUUCAAAUGCGUUCAGGCGAAUCAGAUGAGAAUCAUCCUUACGGUUAUAAAAAAUCGUUAGACCGUCUCUCCGAAAAGGUUGUAUAUUCCAGCGAUGUGUGCGAGAGAUGUACCACAGUGCAAGAUCUUUUCAACGACCGUAGCUCUGAUGAAGGAAAACCUAAUUUGAUUCAAUUUUAUGUAUUUGUUAAUUUAGAUUUCAUUUGUAGAUGGCGGAUGGAUUUUUAUUAAUGAGUUGAUUUGUUUCCAAAAAAAAAAAAAAAAAAAAAAAAAAAAAAGAAGAAGUUGUGCAUUACAAAAGAGAUCAAAAUCAAAACGAAACAUUGAAAGAAUGUAAAGAGAAUAUAUUGUAAUAAUAAAUGUUUGUUAGUACA